CUGGAGCUAGGACAGUCCAGAAAGUGAGGUUUGGGUUGGGCCUCAAUCCUGCCGAGGUGUUUGGGUGCCUACAGCUGUUCUGCGGCAGAGCUGGUCUCCAGGACCACUGACCCUAGGACCCAGCUUCCCUUCCCUCCAACAGCAGGUCUGGCUACACCUCUGGCCGAGAGCAAGAAAUCCAAGCACCAGGGAAGACGUCAGCUUCACAGACUAGAGACUUAAUGUAGUGAGAAGAGUCCGUCCCAGCAGGUUGAGCCAAACUGCCUGGCGACCUGGCCUUGGCUGAAAGCAGAACACGUCUGGGUGACAAGUCCAUGGGUCUUCCCUCGAUUUCCAUCAAGCUUGACCUAAGGGGUGAAGGGCCCUCCGCUGGACCCUCUGAAGUUUCACUGAGACAAUCUGAUAACAGCCUUCCUUGGUGAAUGACAUUCCAGACAGAAGAUCCCACGUGACUGAGCUCCUCUUUUGUGGAUCUGGCCUUAGGUCUAGCCAGCUCCCGCUCCACUUUGGAGCCUCAUCUCCUUUCUGGAAACGCGCUGUGCCUGCCCUCCUGUCUCGCCUGCCACGUUGCCGUAUUGGAAAGGCCUUCCAAGUCAGUCCUCCCUAUUAUCCCACCGCUGUGGCCUGGAGUCCCAUCUGUGGACUAGCCAGACUCCUAGUCACAUAUUUGUCGUCACAUGCACUGGCUCGAGGCUUUCCAUGGUCCCCAGGGCUUGCUCAGCAAAGAUGACACUUGAUAAAUCACUGCAGCGUGAUAAUGAGGUCAUUGAUUCCCCUCACGGACGAAGGCCCAAGCACUCACUGUGUGCUCAGACAUCGCUCCUGGCCUGGCCAGUGUCUGGAACGCGCCUUGGUUGGCUCUUCAAGGCGCUGAGCUCACUCAUCUGGCAUCCCCCCGCUUCACGCUGCCCGGAGGACUCUCGUCCUGUUUGGAAGUGGUGAAUGCCAUGGUUGCUGGUUUGAUUUUUAAUUACAUUCCUCUGACUAACUCAACCUUAAGCUGCCUUAUCAUACUAAAUAUCAAAUGUGCUUAA